UUAUAGAUCCUGAUGGACUGGAAACUGCAAUUUUAAAUAUUAUUAACAUAAAUAAAACGUUCGUGACACUUAAUUUGAUGUUGGCUGUACCAGAUAAAGUAAAUUUUAGAUUCACAAUUGAGCAUG